AAAAAAAAGCCUGCCUCUCCCCCUUGGUAGCAAGGUUUGGUAGACUAAGUUACAACCUGGGGCUGUAAUUUGCCCUUUUGCUGAAGCUGUGCCACAUGCAGAGAAAACGGAUUCAUUAGGCUAGAGUGUAAAACUGUGGUUAAAUUACUUGUCCAGCAGAGGGAACUCUUAGCUUCUGGUUGCUAUAACAAGGUCUCUUUCAGUACAGAAAUCCAGUGGCAUUUUAGACGAAAUGAAUAAACAGCCUUGAGCAUCGGUUCUCUGUAGCCGGUCAAGAUCACCUGAGACCUAACUUUAGAUGUAGAAAUUCGGUGUCUUAUGUCUGAGUAUGUCACCCUGGUCUUCUUUACAGAGCAAGUUAAUUAGUUUUCUACUAUGGCAUGAGAUGCGUUUCCCACUAAAGAUGUCCAUGUUUCUUCAAUACUUAUGAAGUGAGCCUAGGGUGACUAACUCAGACACAGACAUUUCACAGGUUCACACAUUAGGCCAGACAAAUUUUAUUCCUGGUGACCAUAGUUGCCAAUAUAACAUUGGUUUUAGGAUCAGAAGCCUGCAGCUAGCUAGGGACCCUUUGCCUGUUUCUUUCCUUCAGUUGCUGCAGAGCUGCCCUUGAGGACACACUAAAUAAAUGAAUAUGAGCAUACACUAAAUAACUGAAUAUAAGCCUAAUGCCCAUUAAGCUCUCAAUUAACUGAAGAAAAAAACCCACCUUUGUAAAAAGGCUUUCCCUUUCUCUUACAUUUUCUAGAUAUAGCUUACUUGCUAAUUAGAUAUACUCCUGUAAUUAAAAUCAGUUUAUUUCUGCAAUUGAUUCUCCAUACAUUAAGGUUGCUAUGGCAAGUGGUUGCUGUAUGUUAUGCUUUCUGCAGAAUAUAUAACCAACUAAUCAUGCCCUGGAGUGUCUCUGCACACUUUCCUGCUUCCUUACAGUCUGCCAGGGCAGGAAGGAAACCCUGCAAUGGUAGUUGUAGGAUGUAUGUGCAAGCAGUUAUUGUGUGUAUACUUGUUAUCUAGCCUAGGGCUGGUGGAAUGGAUGAGUGAGUGUUUUGUUGCUGUUGUCACUGUAUAUUGCUUAUCAGUUUUAUGUCUCCCAAAACACUUGGUUAUUAAAGAAGUAGCCAGGUUUUACAGACCCAGCCAUUCUGAAAGGUGAAAUGGCUUUGUGGAGUUCUUGCGAGAGGAGAGGCCUGACCAGUACUGCUAUGCCAUGGCAUAUCGUGCCAUGUCACUGGCAGAUCAGAUGGAGAAAGGUGCAAGACCUAAUCCUCAGGCUUCCUUGAAAGCUGAAACUCUAAUAUAAUCACCUGACUGUUGGAACAGGAGCUUUAAGAAAUUUCUUGUAACAAACCCCCGUGAAAUUGGUAACAUCUGUCAGCCCGCUCAACAAGAAUUGCAUCUCCUGGUUGCUGCUCAAGAAAAAAUAGCACCUGAGUUAGGGAAUAAUGGAGUGCUACAUACUGAAGAAUAAGAAUCAGUACAUGCUCCAGAAGAGAACUAAGCACCCCCAAAUCCCAUACAUUUCAUUUACUUAACCCUUCUAACAGCCCUUCUCAUACUUUCUGGGACUCAAAGAUUUAAAUCUCUCUGAUUUUCACCUAUAUUCCCCGAAUGUUACUCCAUAAAAAGAGCGUAGCCCUUCAGCUCUUCUUUAGUUUAUACACACCCAAGCUGGCUAAACGUGCUUGGUUCCUCUUUAUGUGUUCAGGAAAAACAGAAACAUCCCUUCACCUCUGCUUUGUUCCUCUGAGUCUGUAGAGACUCUAGGGUCCGUUAUCAACAAUGCAAGGACACAGAUUUUAUCUAGUAGCUGGAGAAAAGUAGGAGGAUCUUGCUCACCUCAUGCAUGACUAGCUGCAGUCUAAGUUGAGAUGUGUUUCAUGUAUAUUAUAUCAAAUGUCAGGGGUUUGCAAUGAAACAACUGGAAAAUAUUAUUAAAGGUUAACAGUCUGAAAAUUGCUAGUAGACUCUGAAUAUAAGUUACAAUGCAUUAGAAGCAAAUCUGUAGCAUAAGUAGUCCCAAAGUGCUUCUUAUUUAUCUUUAGAAACUCAGUGUUAACAAACACCUGAUCUGAAUUUUGUGUGUUAUGAUAGCAACUGCUGCUAUCAUGGGAAACAUUACAAAAAACCUAAUUUUACUCAAAGAGCUCCUUUAUAUGAGAAAGUGUGUAUUUUUUCCAGCAAUUUUUGCUAAAAUAUGCAAAAUAAGAUAGCAAUCUUAAUGACUACAUCCCUAUUUAAUGUGUUAGCAUAAAAAAAAACUUUGCAUGUUUCUGUUUGCAGAAAAACAAACUGUUUUCCAUUUUCCUCUUUUUUUUUUUUCCAGAAGAAACUGAAAACAGCUGUAGAAGUUCAGUACCAUUAUCCUUUUAGAUAGAAAUUUUAGGGGGUGUUAUGAACUAUUGGUAGGAAAAAUGCCAUUGCUAAUGGGUCAUGUACCUACAACUACAGGAUUACAAAGCAAAUGGAUUCUUGUUUUCAGCUGCUCUAAGCAGAGUAUUAAGACAAUUCUGUUGUACAUAAAAUGAAUAAUAAGCUUCAAGUAACUGACGUUUACUAGCACGUCAGCUUCAUCAUUUUUUACAGUCAUAGCUGAAAUUGCAUUUGCUAAAUUGCUCUCAUGAAGCAGGAUUUUCGUUCUGAUAGAUUCCCUACUUCUCAAAGUAUAAUUCAUCUUCCUGUAAAAGCACUGAUGCUAAUCUUUAGCCUGUGUUAAGAUGACUAGAUCUUCCAGUUUUAAAUAUAAGGUCCUCUAUCUUAAUACUCUGCAGGGAUGCCCAUUUGACCCCAUUCCACUUCUUGUUUCAUUUGCUCUGCAGCGCAUGAUCACUGUGUGAAGGGAAUAGCACAUGGUCAAAGGGCUCUGUUCAGAGGUGACUUACACACUACCUGGUGCCAGAUAUAAUGUAGAUUGCACUAAAAAAAUCAAUAUAAUUCUGCUUUGUAACUUAUAUGGCACCAUUAUUUUGUGAAGUAGGUUACUCAUUGUAGCAGAGAGCAAUCUUUUUGCACCAGGACCUUUAAACAAAUUACGGAAGCAGAGAAAGAGUAUACUGUGGAUUUGGUCUUGCCCAGAAGAGGUGCCAAAAUCCUUCAUGUUAGAAACAUGUAAAUGAAAAAUAAUCAACAGGAGAGGAAGAUAAAUAGGAGAACCUGCCUUUCCUUUAACAGGCACUGAACUGUGUUUUGUCUAAUAAAAGGCAUAAGACCAUAGGGCAGGGAGGAGGCCAUUUUUUUUAUCAGUAGGCUAUGUUGUGAAAGGCAAAACUUGAAGCACGAGCAAACAGAAUUGCACCAACAGCAAUGAAGGGAGGUAGCACAUGAGGAUGGCAGAUGCUAUGCUUUCUUCACAGCCUUGAAGAAGGCUGUCUGUUUUGUCAUUAUUUCUAGCCUAGGAUUUUGCAAGCUACUGCUCCAACUGGGUAUUUUCUCUUACAGCCCCCAGAAUCUCCUUGGUAAUCGCAACUGGCAUCCUUGUUCACUGCCAGAGUACAUGCUAGCUCUUUCACUUGGUACUUUCAGGUACUCUCUUAACAUCCUCUGGUUAGUGUUUCUGCUGGCACUUGAGAUUCCUUCUAGUGAUGAGCCUUUUCAGCUGUUAGUGUUCAGAUACUGAAGUCAGUUAACUUAUGGGGAGAAGAAAUAGCUUCCCUGAGCUUGCUUGUCCCAGCUGUGGUAGCUCAUAAUUCACUCAGGCAGGCAGCUGGCACCAAUGCUGUGUUCAGUGUUGAGGUCUUUGGUGUGAUGAAGAUAACUGUAUAUGCCGCACCCUGGAAACUGGGCUGCAGCCAGCACAGUGGUAUCUGGAGGGGAAUGAGGGAUCGCAAUUAUGGAGAUUAAUAGGGGCAAGAAUGACUGGCAAUAGAAGAAAGUCUUUCUGUUGACUUACUGUUUGCAUGGUUGGUCUAAACUGGGGAACACCUUUGUAGACAAAAAAAAACCCAGGGCUUUGGGUCAUGACAAGAUAUAGUCGUUGUUUGAAGAGGUAUCCCUGUAGGUAAAGCUUUUUGUUUGAGGCAGAUCUACUUCACAGCAAGAAGUUGCACUGUGCUCAGAUUUUUUUUUUUUUUUUUUUUUUUAAUCUCAGACAAAAUUUGUUCUCCUUGGAUUAACAUGUCCAAGGCCUAGUUGCCAUUCCGGAGUGAUGAAUGGCAGAGAUAAACUCAUGCCCUGAAAUUUCUGGGCUAUUUGGAUGGGUACAUCUAAUGCCUGAAAGUACAAGUUCGUUUUGGAACUCUAUAGUGCUCUAGUAGUUGGGAGGGAAAUGAUAAAAGGCCUUGAGAAAUGUCCUUCUAUUGGAGUGCAUGCUACCUGGCUAUGGUGUAGAAGGGUUACCAUCACCCCACAGUAUCUCACAGAGAAGAGCAGUGUCUCGGAGAGCACAGUGCUAACCAUUAGUAACUGUUGCCUUUUCAUUAUCAACCGCUGUGCUAUUGCAUUAUUGAUUAAUGCUGUUGAAAGCCAUUCCUGCUGGUCCCUUAUGUUCUUACUGAAAACUACUCAACAUAUCAGCCACAUCUAAUUGAAUAGCAAGAGGAAUGAGUGAAAUGUCAUUCAUAAGCACUCCCUCCCUUUAUAGUCAUUGGCAAAAGCAUGUAUGUCACUGAAUAUUGAAACCAUCCUGAAGGCAUCAAAUUUCUAAAUGUAAUGCUAUUUUUUUUAUACUUUACUCAACUGUGCUAGAUAUGCUGCUGCUACUAAUGUUCUGGAGAUUCACAUGCUUCACUUAUUGUAGGGACUAAAAGUAUUCUGUACAUCUUAGUUAAGCAUUACCAUCUCAGUAUUAGCAUCUCAGAAUGAUUGGUAAAUAUUAUUCUAAUUAUUUACUAAAUCUGUAAGUUGAAUUGCAUACACAUUCAGUGAAAUAGCAGAAUUUCUUUUGAAGACAGUGGUGGAACUGUAAAUAAAAGUUAGCUAAUUUUUAAAUAUUGGCAUUACAAUGACACCAGAAGGCAUCAGUCAAUAUUAAGGCCUCAUUAUGCUAAACUCUCUACAUAAGCAUGUGAAGAGAGACAAAAAGUCUUGGCUACAAGGAAUUUGCACAGUGAAUAGCCAAGAGAAAGUGCAAAAGGAAGAAGGUAUUAAUGUCUCCAUUUAAUGCCCUUAAUAACAUACUUUAACUUUUGGUCAGCCCUGAAGUGGUCAGGCAGUUGACUAGCUGAUCACUGUAGGUCCCUUCCCACUGAAAAUAUACUAUUUUACAGACAGAAUGCAAAGAAAAGUGAUUUGCCUAAGGCUACUCUGUGCCACCAGUAGAAAGCAAAUUUGGAUUUCUGAACUAUAUUCUAGGCAAUUUCUCAUAGUUUAUUUUACAACACCUUUUUGGACCUUGAGGAAGGUUCCCCUGCUUCCCCCUCAGCAUGUAAUUUGAUAUAGAGCAUGUAUGAGCAUUCCCCAUCUUGCCCCGUCUCUUCCCCUUUCAGAGACUCCAGUACUUUGCUAACCACCUUCAUUCUCUUUCAGCCUCAGGGGGAGGAGUUCCAGAGUGGGAUAUGGACUGCAGUAUGCCACAUGUGAGGUCUUUACCUUUUUUCCCUCCACUUGGUUACCAAGGAAUGUAAAGCAAGCUAUCACUGUGUGUCACAUGCAAGCAAGGUCUAAGAGCUCUAGAGCAGCUGAGAACAUGGAUACAGCAUCUUAAGUUGUCAAGAUGACACUAUACUGGCAGAGGAGUCUGUAAGGGGCAGAGGCUUCCAUUUCCUGCUGAGUUUUGUCAGGAUCCAGGUCUGCUGUGUUAUACAGAGAGAAAGUGUUGUCUGCAAGAUGGGAGUAUGUCUCUGUAGGACCUCACAGACUGAGGGGAGACACUGCCUGGGAGCACAGGACACUUUAUGGGUUGCAGGGGAACAGCAUUUUGGAAUUGUGCAAAACUUGUAAUAGGAUGUUUAGGGGAGGAAGCACAGCAGAGAAAGGGAGGGAUAGAGGUGGUCUGGGGAGGAAAAAUCUUGGGAAAACAGAGGGAUAAGGGGCUAAAAGGGGGCAGUCACAUGUAAACAGGUGGCUAGUCAGUAGGCUUGUCUGGCCCUGCCCUGCACUUGAUCAGCACAGUCUGUCCUGUGUUCUCAUUAAACUGCAUUUUUAUUUUCCUGGG